rnacentral:lncRNA from 1 species
CUAACUUAAAAUAAAAUAAUACUCUUCUAAAUAAAAGGAAAAUCAAAACCACCUAUUUCUAUUUUAUCUCAACCAAAAUCAAACCAAAUAUUAUUAAACCCAAAACUAAUCAAAUAAGAUUUUAACGAAUCCCUAAAAUUUAAGUUUAUGAAAUUUAAGUUUAUCUUAACAAAACUUCCCCAUAAACUUAAAUUUCCAUCCUUUAUUUUGGCUUUUCACAUGUAUCAUCCCACAUUGAGUUUGCUUCUUUAAAUCAUAUUUGACUUCUUCUUUUUUCCUUAUGGCCCUUCUAUCUUUUAGAUUACUUGACCUCUUUUCCCAAACCUCUUCUCCUUAUUCUCG